GACGAAGGAUGCAAGCGUUAUCCGGAUUCAUUGGGUUUAAAGGGUGCGUAGGCGGACUUGUAAGUCAGUGGUGAAAUCUCUCAGCUUAACUGAGAAACUGCCAUUGAUACUGCAGGUCUAGAGUAUAGAUGACGUUGGCGGAAUAUGACAUGUAGUGGUGAAAUACUUAGAUAUGUCAUAGAACACCGAUUGCGAAGGCAGCUAACGAAACUAUAACUGACGCUGAGGCACGAAAGUGCGGGAGCAAACAGG
rnacentral:rRNA from 1 species